UACGGGGGGGGCAAGCGUUGUUCGGAAUUACUGGGCGUAAAGCGCGCGUAGGCGGCUUUUCAAGUCGAGUGUGAAAGCCCCGGGCUUAACCCGGGAAUGGCGCUCGAUACUGUUGAGCUAGAGUGUGGAAGGGGCUACUGGAAUUCCGUGUGUAGCGGUGAAAUGCGUAGAUAUCCGGAGGAACACCGAUGGCGAAGGCAGCUCUCUGGCCUGACACUGACGCUGAGGUGCGAAAGCGUGGGGAGCGAACGGG
rnacentral:rRNA from 1 species